UACGUAGGUCCCGAGCGUUGUCCGGAUUUAUUGGACGUAAAGCGAGCGCAGGUGGUUUAUUAAGUCUGGUGUAAAAAGCAGUGGCUCAACCAUUGUAUGCAUUGGAAACUGGUAGACUUGAGUGCAGGAGAGGAGAGUGGAAUUCCAUGUGUAGCGGUGAAAUGCGUAGAUAUAUGGAGGAACACCGGUGGCGAAAGCGGCUCUCUGGCCUGUAACUGACACUGAGGCUCGAAAGCGUGGGGAGCAAACAGG
rnacentral:rRNA from 1 species